UAAUACGAAGGGUGCAAGCGUUACUCGGAAUUACUGGGCGUAAAGCGUGCGUAGGUGGUUCGUUAAGUCUGAUGUGAAAGCCCUGGGCUCAACCUGGGAAUGGCAUUGGAUACUGGCGAUCUAGAGUGCGGUAGAGGGCAGUGGAAUUCCCGGUGUAGCAGUGAAAUGCGUAGAGAUCGGGAGGAACAUCUGUGGCGAAGGCGACUGCCUGGACCAGCACUGACACUGAGGCACGAAAGCGUGGGGAGCAAACAGGAUUAGAUACCCUGGUAGUCCACGCCCUAAACGAUGCGAACUGGAUGUUGGGUGCAACUAGGCACUCAGUAUCGAAGCUAACGCGUUAAGUUCGCCGCCUGGGGAGUACGGUCGCAAGACUG
rnacentral:rRNA from 1 species